GACGGCUCCAACACCCUGUCGCGGCGAGACGGCUCCAACACCCUGUCACGGCGAGACGGCUCCAACACCCUGUCACGGCAAGACUGCUCCAACACCCUGUCGCGGCGAGACGGCUCCAACACCCUGUCGCGGCUCCAACACCCUGUCGCGGCGAGGCGGCUCCAACACCCUGUCGCGGCGAGACGGCGCCAACACCCUGUCGCGGCGAGACGGCGCCAACACCCUGUCGCGGCGAGACGGCGCCAACACCCUGUCGCGGCGAGACGGCGCCAACACCCUGUCGCGGCGAGACGGCUCCAACACCCUGUCGCGGCGAGACGGCGCCAACACCCUGUCGCGGCAACACCCUGUCGCGGCGAGACUGCUCCAACACCCUGUCGCGGCAACACCCUGUCGCGGCGAGACUGCUCCAACACCCUGUCGCGGCAACACCCUGUCGCGGCGAGACGGCUCCAACACCCUGUCGCGGCGAGACGGCUCCAACACCCUGUCGCGGCGAGACGGCUCCAACACCCUGUCGCGGCGAGACGGCUCCAACACCCUGUCGCGGCGAGACGGCUCCAACACCCUGUCGCGGCGAGACGGCGCCAACACCCUGUCGCGGCGAGACGGCGCCAACACCCAGUCGCGGCGAGACGGCGCCAACACCCUGUCGCGGCGAGACGGCUCCAACACCCUGUCGCGGCGAGACGGCUCCAACACCCUGUCGCGGCGAGACGGCUCCAACACCCUGUCGCGGCGAGACGGCUCCAACACCCUGUCGCGGCGAGACGGCUCCAACACCCUGUCGCGGCGAGACGGCUCCAACACCCUGUCGCGGCGAGACGGCUCCAACACCCUGUCGCGGCGAGACGGCUCCAACACCCUGUCGCGGCGAGACGGCUCCAACACCCUGUCGCGGCGAGACGGCUCCAACACCCUGUCGCGGCGAGACGGCUCCAACACCCUGUCGCGGCGAGACGGCUCCAACACCCUGUCGCGGCGAGACGGCUCCAACACCCUGUCGCGGCGAGACGGCUCCAACACCCUGUCGCGGCGAGACGGCUCCAACACCCUGUCGCGGCAACACCCUGUCGCGCCAACACCCUGCCGCGGCGAGACGGCGCCAACACCCUGUCGCGGCGAGACGGCGCCAACACCCUGUCGCGGCGAGACGGCGCCAACACCCUGUACAUUUCAAGAGGAAUGAAUAAAACCCGAAGGAUGAAAUUAUAUCAAAACCGCAUCGCCGGGAAGCCCACAUGUUCCAGUGCCGUUAAGUACACACAUCCGAAGUACAAUCAGGCUCUCUACUAA
rnacentral:lncRNA from 1 species